CGCGGCGCUGCGGGACGUGAGGGAGCUGCUGAGGCAGCAGGUCAAGGAGAUCACGUUCCUGAAAAACACGGUGAUGGAGUGUGACGCGUGCGGGAUGCAGCCCGCGCACACCCCCGGCCUGAGCGUGCGGCCCCUACCCCAGUGCGCGCC